rnacentral:lncRNA from 1 species
AAACAUCAUUGGUAGUAAUACUACUUUUAGGAAAAGGUAAACGUUGUUGUUUUGCUAAGGGACAUAUUUCACAAAUAUGUGAAUCUAUUUUGUUUGAAAAAUUCAGGGUUGGGAUAUGAAGUAGCUCGUUCAUUGAGGUGUAGCCGAGUCUUUUGUGCCAAAUUUAUAGGGUGUGGCUGGUGCAUGCUUUUUCUGGUUCUAUAUCUUUGCUCAGGGUGUACAGGCCUCCCU